rnacentral:lncRNA from 1 species
CUGUCUAAAUCGAGGUUGUGAAACACCUAAACAUAAGUUUUUUUUUCUUUUAAUGAACGUUCAAAAUAGUAUUUCAUCUUCUUGGACAAACACAUGAAUCCUCACAUCAUGUACACAUUUUGGUAUCCAAACAACACAAAUAUUAUAAUCAAGUUAUUUGCAACAUCAACACUGGUUUGCAUGUGAUGUGAGUUUUGACUUCUUUCUAACUUACAAGAGUAAAAUGGUAGCAUAGGCCCGCU